AUCUCCUGGUGAGCCUGUGUGCGCUUCUUCCCCUUCUCAACUAUUUCACUUGCUCAUCAUGUCAUGUCAGGGCUCUUGAUUCUUUGCCACACUCUCAGCAGGCACAGGUCGGACAGAUAAAAAUGCCACUAGGAAACUCACCCCUUGAAAACUGCUGUGACAGGAUGAUCUGGUAGUGAGCCACAGUAAGACUUAGUCUGUUUUGGACACAAGACAAAGCUCACCAAUGCUGGCACAUUGUACAAUCAGCCAGUUACCCCAAUCCUGUGGCUUCUCCAGAAGGAAAUUAUCUGAAUAAGAACUCAACAUGGUGCUCACAGUCUCUGUUUCUUCUUUAUUCCCAGUCUUCUUCCACCUCCUAUGGGCUUUUACUCCUUCUCUGUUAAUCAAUCUUCCUUGCUUAUAGGUAUCACCUCCUCCAAAAUAUCUAUGGCUCUUUUUUGAAAGGUUUUAAAAAUUCCCUCCCUAUGAGGGAUGGGACCUAUUGGUUGCAGAUGUUACCCAUAUCAUUUGCCAUCAACCAAAAGAAAACAGGCCAAGAUUAAACUGGUCUUUUCUUUUUCUAGGUUUAAGGAGACAGGAAAGGUUGGAUAGGGAUAACUGGGAUGCCACUGAGUGGACCUUCACAAAUAGAGUUUCAUGGUUCUUUUUAGCCUUUGAGUAGGAAGGCUAAAUACCACUGGGAAAGAAAGAAUAAUUACCAAGAUGCUAGGAGCAGAGGAAAACAUGCAGGUAUUACACAGCCCAUGGAAAAGAGCCAAACCAAAAAGAGAGAGCCUAGAUUCCAAAGGGAAUGGGGCAAAUUAUGUCCCCAAAUUGGUAGACAUAAUUUGGCAGCUUGUGGUUCUGGUCAUAGGAACUCAAAGGAAGUAGUGUGCACCCACCAUAGGGGUCAUAGACAUUUGUCUACAAAAUUGUGGGAUUUCUAUGAGGAUGCCUGGGAAAUACCCAACCCCUAAGUUCCCAAUUCCUCACAGUUAUGCCUCAGGCAGAAUUCAGGGCCCUAGUUACAGAACCUAAAAACUCUUUCUUCCAGAAUAGCCAACAUGGGAGGAACUACCUCUAUUGUACAUAACUCCCCAUUUGGAUAUAUUCUCCAUUACUGAAAAUGCUUCCACCCUGACAAUUUGAGGUGGAGAAAAGGACUUUUUAAAAAUUGUAAUAAUACUUGCUCCAAUAUGAGCUAGGGGUUGAAAUCAAUGGCCUCUGAAUGGAAGCCAAAAUUAUAAUACCAUCAUGUAACUAGACAUCUUUUGCAGGAGAGAAAGCAAGUGGUCAUAAGUCCCCUACACCCAAGCCUUCAUGUACUGUACAAAACCCACUCCUAUGCUGUGACAAGAUCCCACAAGGGGCUCCUAAGGCAACUGCCCCAAAUCACGAUAUCCUGAAUGACCCAUUAGUAAAUAACCCUCCUGUUUCUCAGGGGAACAGCUAUGACAACCUCCUUCAGCUCUUUGGGUCAGAUUGCCCUAGUUAAUGCUCUUUGCCUCUCAUGCUCAAAAUGACAAAUUUCCUUUCUCCUUAGCUUUCUGCCAGUUAUCUAUCUCUCUGAGGCUUGCAUCUGGAAUGUAAUUAAGCUGCACAGGCAAUUGUCCAAUCCAGUUUAAGAGUGUCACUUUCAGGCUGAGGAUAUAUUGCAAUUCGUAAAGAGCUUGUCUCACAUGCACACCGCCCUGGGUUCAAUCCCCGACACCCCCCCCCCCCAAAAAAAAUAGAGUGUCACUUUUAAAUUCAAGCUGCAAUGGGACAUAAAUGACUAUUUUCUCUGUCCUUGUACUCUGGAAUUCUGCUCUCUCAUUAAGUUCCUCCCUAGAUGCUAAAACACAGGGAGGGAAAAUGGAAAGAUCCUAGAUAUAUAAAUCUUUUUUUCCUUGAGAACUUUUUCCUGAGAAACUCAUGGGCUCCUACAUUCUUUAAAUAUCUGGACUGACUCUAAUCUGAUCCAAAAGUGCACUCUAGUCUAUAUACAAGAGUAAUUACAGUUGCAACAUUUAAAAAAAAAAAAAAAAAAAAAACUCUAUCUUAGUUUCUGAGUUCAUGUUUUUUUGGGUGAACUCACUUUUCUUCCUGAAUUCCUAAAGUAACAUAUUUUGUUUGGAUUAGUCUUAUUUUGUCUGACUGGAGUUUUUCCCCCCCCUCUAUCUGUUUUUCCUGUUGUCUUUAUUCAGUGAUCAAUAAUUCAAGGGUUAACUCUCAAGUGUACUGGAAAAGGAAAGAGAUCUUCUCCUUUGGAGAGUCCUAAGGAAGGAGAUUAACAGUGGUGAUGGUGGAAGGAAAUCUGCCCCCAUGGAGGAUGAAUGGUCCCCUUGAACCUUUGAUUUCAGCAUCCACCAUGGCUGACAGACUCUAUUGCUCACAUUCCCCAAAGCACAGGCCCUUCCUAUAUCUGAGUCAUAGUGAAAAAUCUGUGACAGGCUCUAUUUUAAUUUCUAAAUUAAAAUUUAUAUCUGAUAGUAGUUCUUUUGACUCCUACCUGUAGGGAUUUCAUUCCUGGUAAAAAUCUACAAAAUCCUUGUUUCUUGUC
rnacentral:lncRNA from 1 species